UUACGACCACAUCACGUUGAAACACAGCUUCCCCUACGAUCACCGAAGUUAGACAACGUCGAGCCUGGUCAGUACAUAGAUGGGUGACCGCUUGAGAAUACCAGG